GGAGUUGGACAGGCUACCGCCUCUAUUUUUUGAUAGAGGAGGAAAGUCCGGGCUCCGUAGGGCAAGACGCUGGGUAACACCCAGUGAGGGCGACCUCAGGAAAGUGCCACAGAAAGGAGACCGCCGAGCACCUAAAAGGGCACAGAAAAGUUUAUUAAAUAAGAAAAUUUAUCUUUUCCCUUUUAGGUGCUCGGUAAGGGUGAAAGGGUGGGGUAAGAGCCCACCAGCUGUCAUGGUGACAUGACAGGCUAGGUAAACCCCGUCUGGAGCAAGGCCAAAUAGGAAGGCGCUUUUAGGCUGGCCCGGCCGAUGCCUUCGGGUAGGCCGCUAGAGGCAGGGAGUAAUCCUUGUCCUAGAGUAAUGGUAGCCACCUGGAUUCAGGAACAGAACCCGGCUUAUGUCCAACUCCAGAU
rnacentral:RNase_P_RNA from 1 species